rnacentral:rRNA from 1 species
AGAGUUUGAUCCUGGCUCAGAACGAACGCUGGCGGCGCGUUUUAAGCAUGCAAGUCGAACGGUAGGGUAGUGCUUGCACUACCUGAGAGUGGCGAACGGGUGAGUAACGCGUAGAUGAUCUACCUUUUGGUUGGGGAUAGCUCAUGGAAACAUGGGGUAAUACCGAAUAAGAUCCUAUUGCUUUGGCGAUUGGAUGAAAGGGGCUUCGGCCUCGCCGAGAGAUGAGUCUGCGUAUGAUUAGCUAGUUGGUGUGGUAAAGGCGCACCAAGGCGACGAUCAUUAGCCGGCCUGAGAGGGUGACCGGCCACAUUGGGACUGAGACACGGCCCAGACUCCUACGGGAGGCAGCAGCUAAGAAUCUUCCGCAAUGGGCGAAAGCCUGACGGAGCGACGCCGCGUGGGUGAAGAAGGCGGAGACGUUGUAAAGCCCUUUUCUCACAGAAGAAUAAGUUUCAGAGGUAAUGCUGGAGCGAUGACGUUAUGUGAGGAAUAAGCACCGCCAA